rnacentral:rRNA from 1 species
UACGUAGGGGGCUAGCGUUGUCCGGAAUCAUUGGGCGUAAAGCGCGUGUAGGCGGCCCGGUAAGUCCGCUGUGAAAGUCGGGGGCUCAACCCUCGGAUGCCGGUGGAUACUGUCGGGCUCGAGUGCGGAAGAGGAGAGUGGAAUUCCUGGUGUAGCGGUGAAAUGCGCAGAUAUCAGGAGGAACACCAAUUGCGAAGGCAGCCCGCUGGGACGUUACUGACGCUGAGACGCGAAAGCGUGGGGAGCAAACAGG